rnacentral:ncRNA from 1 species
UUCUAGCGGACCUGGGUCUCGGACACGAAGAUUUUAAAGUCCUAACAGUGAAGGUCUCUCCAGCGAGACAUGGUGUGUUUUCGUUGUUCAUCAGCAGAUGACGCCUGUGGCUGUACCCACGGGUGAUGGCGAGUUUAGCGCCCUAAUAGUGCCCCCGCAACUAACCCCCCCCCCCCCACUUUCUAACUCAGUGGGGGUUUUGAAGGUCGCUCUCCCUUGAAUGAGAGUUAUAAUACGUUUUUCUUCCUUUUGUCGGGUGUGGGGGGUGCUCACGCUUACCUGGAGAGGGCGUAACUCGGUCCCCCUAACCCCCUUUUCCUUUUCAUCUGGGGUCGGGUUGGGUUCCGUUUGGGUCCCUAGUCGGGGGGUUAACUCUCCCGAACUGGGGGCUGGACGGCCGGUUCGUUCCCCAAUGGGUUCAAGCCACAGUGCCCUUCAGUCUGCCCGACGAUGAGGGAGUAAAAGAUAAAUAGCCAAAUGCCUCGUCAUCUAAUUAGUGACGCGUAUGAAUGGAUUAACGAGAUUCCCACUGUCCCUAUC